rnacentral:rRNA from 1 species
UCUGUAGGUGGUCAAAUAAGUCAACUGUUAAAUCUUGAGGCUCAACCUCAAAAUCGCAGUCGAAACUAUUAGACUAGAGUAUAGUAGGGGUAAAGGGAAUUUCCAGUGGAGCGGUGAAAUGCGUAGAGAUUGGAAAGAACACCGAUGGCGAAGGCACUUUACUGGCUAUUACUAACACUCAGAGACGAAAGCUAGGGUAGCAAUG